rnacentral:lncRNA from 1 species
ACUGGGAAAGGAAUGACACUUUGGAAAUUUACUUUGAGAAAUGUCUGUAUUAUUAAACAGAAUAAGGUUUUCAUUUCUGUAUUCUUUCAGCAAAGCUACUAAUCUGAGCAACGUGGAAUUAAAAUUGUAGACUAAUAAAAGAUUUUCCAGACUUGGUGUGUCCAAAUUCUGAUGAGGAAGCCUGGAAGGCUGAAGACUUAGGAAAGAGUUGCAAUUUGUGUCCAAAGGCAGUCUGCUGGUGAGCCAGGAAGAACUGAUGUUGCAGAUGAAAUCUAAAGGCCCACAGUAGUGGUAACCCCACUUUCCAGGCCCACCAUGUUGGCAAUCCCACCCUUUCUGCUCUGAGAAGAGGGCCAGUCCCUCUGAAUCCAAGGAGAUGACCCCACUCUCUGGAACCAAGCAGGAGAUGGUCCCAUACACAGGGUGAAGCACAAAGGAGAUUCUUGCAAGAUUUGGAAGACCUAGGGAAGGAAGUGACAUUUUAUGGCUGACCUAUGCUGUUGCUGAUCUGCUGCAUCAUUUCAAUGGCAUAAAGCAGCAUCUAGAUCUGCGGUUGUUUAGCCUUUUCUGGAUUCAUCUUCAGUUUUUUGACCCCUGAGCCAGACUCAGAGUUCACCUCCUCCAGGAAGCCUUCCUUGAGACGCCAUUGCUCACCUGGCUCUACUUGCUUGACCAGAAGUACUUUAAAGAUUAUAUCUUUACAUUUUGUAUCUGCAGGACUUGAAAUAUAAUGAACAUUCCAGACAUAAUUGAUGAAUAAAAUAACAUCCAAUCCCUUCAUUUUAUAGAUUGGUUGAUGAAGACCUUGGACUUUUGGCCAAGAUUGAACAUCUACAGUGGAGAUUAUUUAGUGCUGUUUUCUAUUCACAGGCCUAGCCACUCCAACCUGUCUGUUGUCUUUACAUCAUAGGACUUUACCCAAGGUGCACUCUAUAAUACAUGCCAGUCCAAAUAUACAUUCUGACAGACAAUCUAGCUGCCCACAUCUGUCAGAUGGCUCUUUCUGUGACAACUGAGGAUAAGAAUUUUUUUCUUUAAGAAUUAGAGCUAAAUAUUAUGAAAUAUAAUCUAGACUUCAAGAAACUUUGACAGUUACCUGUAUCACCGUCUGUGGAUGAAUAAAAAUCUCUUUGACAUCUAAGACAAAAUGGCCAUUCACCAUCUAUCUGAAAAUUCUAGUGAGGACAGCCAUACUUUCUGAGGCAUGUUGAAUGGCUAACAUUUUAGAAUUCUUCCUUACAUUGGCUGAAAUAUGACUGAAGUUUCACAGAUUUACCCUUAUUCCUCAUGAUAAAAGUACAGAAGUUUGUUAAGUGUCCUUGGUGACAGGUUGGUCAAGAUUGGACCUUCCAUAGGAUUACUUAGUCUCACAUCCCCUCAUGGCUACGGAUCUCAUAAGGAUGGGUCUGAACAUCAAAAAUAUCACUGUUUUUAUUCAGGUACUGACAGCGCCAUAUAAAUAUGGCUUAAAGCAUGGCUAUAAGAAGAGUGAAUAUUCUAAUGACCUGUCUUGAGUGAAGCUGAUGAGACUGUAUUUUGAGUCUUACUGUACCUGUUAAGGCUAUGCAGCGUAUUUAGAGAGAAAUGUGGAAUUUGUUAUAUAAAGGUAAGUUUAAAUAGGGUGCUAAUAUCUAUGAAGGUCAACUUUGUUAAUUCAACACAAAUAAAAAUCCAAGCCAUGGUCAUUCAGCACACAUAAAGUCUAAGUAAUUUCAAAUAAAAUUACUGCUUGGCUGAAUGCUUAAGCAAUUUUGGAUUGCUGGAGUGAAUCAAAGAAUACUCAUAAUGUAAGCUCAUUAGAUUCACAGAGAGAUAUGCUGAUUUAAUUCAAGUGUUCUGCUGUCCAUUUAAACUUCACCUUCUUUUCUUACUUUGGAUUACUAGAUGUUUUUGUUAAUCUUAUUUGACAAGCUGCAUCUAGUCUUAUGAAUUUAACCUUUUUGUGAAUUGUCUUUGCUAUUAAAAAUUCUGUAACUGUCAAUCACUUGAAUCAUGUGGAGUUAUGAAAAAUGUCUGAUCCUUGAAUGUAUAUCUUUUCUCUCUCCAUCUGUAAUAUCUUACUAUGUACAGAAUAAAUUAGAAACUUAUCUGUGAUGUUAAUAUUUCUGAUAGCUUA